UACGAAGGGGGCUAGCGUUGCUCGGAAUCACUGGGCGUAAAGCGCACGUAGGCGGAUCGUUAAGUCGGGGGUGAAAUCCUGGAGCUCAACUCCAGAACUGCCUUCGAUACUGGCGAUCUUGAGUCCGGAAGAGGUGAGUGGAACUCCUAGUGUAGAGGUGGAAUUCGUAGAUAUUAGGAAGAACACCAGUGGCGAAGGCGGCUCACUGGUCCGGUACUGACGCUGAGGUGCGAAAGCGUGGGGAGCAAACGGG
rnacentral:rRNA from 1 species